rnacentral:rRNA from 1 species
CCUACGGGUGGCAGCAGUCGAGAAUCAUUCACAAUGGGGGAAACCCUGAUGGUGCGACGCCGCGUGGGGGAAUGAAGGUCUUCGGAUUGUAAACCCCUGUCAUGUGGGAGCAAAUUAAAAAGAUAGUACCACAAGAGGAAGAGACGGCUAACUCUGUGCCAGCAGCCGCGGUAAUACAGAGGUCUCAAGCGUUGUUCGGAAUCACUGGGCGUAAGGCGUGCGUAGGCUGUUUCGUAAGUCGUGUGUGAAAGGCGCGGGCUCAACCCGCGGACGGCACAUGAUACUGCGAGACUAGAGUAAUGGAGGGGGAACCGGAAUUCUCGGUGUAGCAGUGAAAUGCGUAGAUAUCGAGAGGAACACUCGUGGCGAAGGCGGGUUCCUGGACAUUAACUGACGCUGAGGCACGGAGGCCAGGGGAGCGAAAGGGAUUAGAUACCCCUGUAGUC